AUCGAUCUUGGCGAGGUUUAUAGCAAGAAAAAAAAAAAA
rnacentral:rRNA from 1 species